rnacentral:ncRNA from 2 species
AUCAUACAUAAAAAUUGAGCCAAUAUAUGCCCGAUGCAGAUGGUUCGGGUGUCUCUACCGCACGGCCGGAUGUGCGACUAUUGGUAUUGCUUUUCGUCCC